rnacentral:lncRNA from 13 species
CUCUCUUUAUGGUACCUACUCCCCUUUCCACAUGUCUCCAACAUGUCAGCAACAUCAAAGCGUUCACAUCAGAUUUAAGGAUGAUUGAUCUGAACUGCCAUUUGCAUCCUCUGGACUAGGCCGGACACUUAGAAAUGAGAAGUAAUGCAAAUCAGUUUUUUAAGAAAAUUCCAGCACUGAGGAAUAGAAAUACUAUGAAAUUGGAAGAUCUGGAGUUUUCCUGACACUUAAGGCUGUGUUUAUUCUCAACUUGUCAAAUGCCUUGUAAUUUUGGUCAGAAACCAGACAUGCUGUAUAGCAGAGCAGAUUUUGAGGUGGCAUUGCUAAGGAAACUUUCUCAGGAUUUCCCUCAGUCUUCACCUUGAACACCUGCUGGGAUUCAGGGAGGAAAAGUUGCAGCUCCCUGAAGCUACGCAGUCUGAUUCAGCCAUGCUGGGUCCUUAGCAAUUUGUUAGAACAUUUUAGUUGCAUCUUCUUAUUACAUUAUACAGCAUCUGGUUGUGAAGGAGCCAGUUUUGACCUGAAGUCCAUUUUGUCUGAAACAUGGUAUCUUGCUAUAUUACCCAGGCUGGUCUCAAACUCCCAGGCUCAAGUGAUCCAACUGUCUCAGCCUCCUGCGCAGCUGGGACUACAGACAAGUACCACGGUGCCCCAGCUAAUCCAUCAAUUCUUUGUUGUUGUUGUUUUUAUUGAGACAGAGUCUCCCUCUGUCCCCAGGCUAGAGUGCAGUGAUACAACCUUGGCUCACUGCAGCCUCCGCCUCCCGGGUUAAAGCAAUUCUUCCACCUUAGCCUCCAGAGAGCUGGGACCACCGACGCAUGCUCCCACGCCCGGCCAAUUUUUGUAUUUUUAGUAGAGAUGGGGCUUCACCAUGUUGGCCAGUGUGGUCUCAAUUUCUUGACCUUGUGAUCUGCCCACCUCAGCCUCCCAAAGUGUUGGGAUU